UUAGAUCAAGAGAAGAUAGUUGAAAACUUACAGGGAAUUUUAAGGGGAAUCUGACUGUUUAAUUAAAACUAGUACGGACAAAGGGAAUCUGUCUGUUUAAUUAAAACAAAGAGUUGUGAUGGUCCCUACAAAUUCUGAUGCAAUGUGAUUUAUGCCCAUUUCUCUGCAUUUCAAAGUGAAGAAAUUCAACCAAGAGUGGGUAAAUGGCGGGAGUAACUAUGACUCUCUUAAGGUAUCCAGAUGCAUCAUCAUCUAAUUAGUGACAUGCAUGAAUGGAUUAAUGAGGUUCCCACUAUCCCUAGAUAGUAUCUAGAGAAACCACAUCCAAGGAAAUGGGCUUGG
rnacentral:ncRNA from 1 species